rnacentral:rRNA from 1 species
UACGAACUGUGCAAACGUUAUUCGGAAUCACUGGGCUUAAAGGGUGCGUAGGCGGCUUGUUAAGCAGGGUGUGAAAGCCCUCGGCUCAACCGAGGAAUUGCGCCCUGAACUGGCGAGCUGGAGUGAGGCAGGGGUGUGUGGAACUUCCGGUGGAGCGGUGAAAUGUGUUGAUAUCGGAAGGAACGCCUGUGGCGAAAGCGACACACUGGGUCUCAACUGACGCUGAGGCACGAAAGCCAGGGGAGCGAAC